ensembl:lncRNA
CCGAUGAAAGACUAGUUUCCUGGGAAGUGUUUAGCCACCGCUGGAGAUCCGAGCAGCGUGGGUGAGUCGGGUCGGAGAGGACGAGCGGCUGCAUGCCGCUGCACGUGGGCGGAACAGAAACGGAUCCGCCCCCCUGUGGCUCACCAGCGCGUCCUAACGCCACGACACUCCUGAGCCCCGAAGCCGCGGAGCCUUCACCAGUGAGGCCUCAUGGAAAAACCCAAGUGGACACUGCGAGGAGGCCCAGCUCUGUGGUCCUGGCAGGGGAAUAUGAUGUGAUAAACACACAGUGAACCUUCAAACCAGCGCAGUCAGCCGGUGCCCGGUGGUGAUGGUGAGAGGCCGGCAGUGAGG